AGAGUUUGAUCAUGGCUCAGGACGAACGCUGGCGGCGUGCUUAACACAUGCAAGUCGAACGGUAAGGCCCUUCGGGGUACACGAGUGGCGGACGGGUGAGUAACACGUGGGUAAUCUGCCCUGCACAUCGGGAUAAGCCUGGGAAACUGGGUCUAAUACCGAAUAGGACCACAGGACACAUGUCCUGUGGUGGAAAGCUUUUGCGGUGUGGGAUGGGCCCGCGGCCUAUCAGCUUGUUGGUGGGGUGAUGGCCUACCAAGGCGACGACGGGUAGCCGGCCUGAGAGGGUGUCCGGCCACACUGGGACUGAGAUACGGCCCAGACUCCUACGGGAGGCAGCAGUGGGGAAUAUUGCACAAUGGGCGAAAGCCUGAUGCAGCGACGCCGCGUGGGGGAUGACGGCCUUCGGGUUGUAGACCUCUUUCACCAUCGACGAAGGUCCGGGUUUUCUCGGGCUGACGGUAGGUGGAGGAGAAGCACCGGCCAACUACGUGCCAGCAGCCGCGGUAAUACGUAGGGUGCGAGCGUUGUCCGGAAUUACUGGGCGUAAAGAGCUCGUAGGUGGUUUGUCGCGUUGUUCGUGAAAUCUCACGGCUUAACUGUGAGCGUGCGGGCGAUACGGGCAGACUUGAGUACUGCAGGGGAGACUGGAAUUCCUGGUGUAGCGGUGGAAUGCGCAGAUAUCAGGAGGAACACCGGUGGCGAAGGCGGGUCUCUGGGCAGUAACUGACGCUGAGGAGCGAAAGCGUGGGGAGCGAACAGGAUUAGAUACCCUGGUAGUCCAA
rnacentral:rRNA from 1 species